AUUGAACGCUGGCGGCAGGCCUAACACAUGCAAGUCGAACGGAAGCACAGUGCUUGCUUGUGGUUACAGGGGGGGACGGGCGGGUGAGGCAGGGGUAUAUCCCGCUCUACUUUUUAGAAGGGCCUGACGAAGGGGCAAAUACCCCAAUAGCGCAGACGGCGUAAGUGGGGGAGCUUGGGAUCUUAUGCGCUUAGGUGAGUGUAGGAGGGAUUAGCUAGUUGGUGGGGUAAAGGGCUACCAAGGCGACGAUCCGUAACUGGUCUGAGAGGAUGAUCGGCCACACUGGAACUGAGACACGGUCCAGACUCCUACGGGAGGCAGCAGUGGGGAAUAUUGGACAAUGGGCGCAAGCCUGAUCCAGCCAUGCCGCGUGUGUGAAGAAGGUCUUCGGGUUGUAAAGCCCUUUUGGUGGGGAAGAAGGGCAGUAGGUUAAUACCACGCUGUUUUGACGGUACCGAAAGAAUAAGCACCGGCUAACUUCGUG
rnacentral:rRNA from 1 species